GGUUAUAGCUCAGUGGUAGAGUGCUUACCUAGCACAUGUGAGGCACUGGGUUCAAUCCUCAGCAUCA
rnacentral:tRNA from 1 species